AUAUAUAUAUAUAUAUAUAUUAGAAAUGAGAAUAUAGGUCAAAAAUUUUCCCCAGGACACUUGAAGAAGGCUGGAGAGUAUAUCAGCCAAAAUGUUGUUUUAACAACAAACAAGAUGAGGACAAAUAUCCGUCAA